UAGUAACUGCGAGUGAAGCGGGAAAAGCUCAAAUUUAAAAUCUGGCAGCCUUCGGUUGUCCGAGUUGUAGUCUGGAGAAGCGUUUUCCGCGCUGGACCGUGUACAAGUCUCCUGGAACGGAGCGUCAUAGAGGGUGAGAAUCCCGUCUUUGACACGGACUACCAGUGCUUUGUGAUGCGCUCUCAAAGAGUCGAGUUGUUUGGGAAUGCAGCUCAAAAUGGGUGGUAAACUCCAUCUAAAGCUAAAUAUUGGCGAGAGACCGAUAGCGAACAAGUACCGUGAGGGAAAGAUGAAAAGCACUUUGGAAAGAGAGUUAAACAGUACGUGAAAUUGCUGAAAGGGAAACGCUUGAAGUCAGUCGCGUCUGCUAGAACUCAGCCUGGCCUCGGCUUGGUGCAUUUUCUAGUGGACGGGCCAGCAUCACUUUUGGUUGCGGGAUAAAGGUCGCAGAAAUGUGGCACCUUCGGGUGUGUUAUAGUCUGCGGCUGUAUACCGUGGCUGGGAGUGAGGAACUCAGCACGCGCAAGCUGUGCUUAGGAUGCUGGCGUAAUGGCUUUAAACGACCCGUCUUGAAACACGGACCAAGGAGUCUAACAUGCCUGCGAGUGUUUGGGUGGAAAACCCGAGCGCGUAAUGAAAGUGAAAGUUGGGAUCUCUGUCGUG
rnacentral:rRNA from 1 species